rnacentral:misc_RNA from 1 species
AAAGUCGUAACAAGGUUUCCGUAGGUGAACCUGCGGAAGGAUCAUUAUUAUUUGGGUAGGGUUUUCUGCUUUUAGUCUUGUUCGUUUUGUUCUUUAUCUGUUCUUUUAUUAUUAAAACGUCUCCUUUGGCAGAAAACCUCCCCCAAAUAUAAAGGAGCAAGCUAUUUAAAACCCACUCUUGAAUUUUAUAUUUAUAUGUAUUUUGAACGAUAAAAUUAAAGAUCACUUUCAACAACGGAUCUCUUGGCUCUC